GAUGUUGCUUCAAAAUGCUCAAUACCUUUUUGUUUAAUCAACAAAAGAAAACCAUUCUUCUGUCAACGUUAAGAGGACAUUUGUAACAUAAAUUUAACAUUCAUUUUCAUAUAUUUAUCUAUUUUAUUUUUACAGCAUUCAUUCAUUGGGGAAAUAGAAAGAAAAAAAAACAGUCAAACAGAUCAGAAACAAAUAAAAAUAAAAACGAGACACACACACACAGAGAGAGAGAGAGAGAGAGAGAGCAACCGACUAGAGAGAGAGGGGGAGAGGUCCGGCGGUGGUUCUGGCUACGGUGGAGGUGUUGGUGUUGAUUUGAUGGAAUGAGUUCUGUUUGUUUUGGAUGAAAAAAUGGGUUAUGUUUGUUAAAGAGAUGGUGAUGAAGGUGGAGGUAGUUUUUUUAUGGUGGUUAAAGAGACGGUGGCGGAGGUAAUCGCAGCAGCAGCAGACGGUGGCGGAGGUAAUCGCAGCAGCAGCAGCAGCAGCAGCAGCAAGUUGCUUCCUUUUCUUUCUCUACUUUGUCUCGUAACCUUUUGCCUCCCCUUUACUUUUUGAUGAUUUGAUUUGGAUAGAUUAGGG
rnacentral:lncRNA from 1 species